rnacentral:lncRNA from 1 species
CGGGACCUGGGUUCUCUGUGACGUCCUGGCCUUCAGCUAAGGAGCAUGUUGGCAUGGGAUGUGGGAAAUGGCAAGACCCCAGAAAUGGACAGAUAGAAGGAAAGACGGCUGCUAAGCAGACAUUAUGCUACACAGAGUCCAGGCCAGCCCAUGUCGCAGAGCGGUUACUUACAUUAAGAAAGGAUUCUGUGUCAAGUGUUUGAGUUAAUUUCUACCUCUUAGGAUCGAGGGAAGUAGGGUUUAAUAUUUCCAUGUAGGGAGAGGAACACCCAGGCUCAGGGAAGUAACUGACCUACUCUCGCGUGGUUCCAGAGGUGGAUUUUCGGACACCAAAGUCGUUCUCCCACCCUGAAGGUCCCAUUCAAGCCAGAGCCGGAGUGUAAGGUCAUGGAUUCUCCCACUCGCUUGCCCUAGGGGUUAAAUUGUACACUGCCCCUGUUAAGGCAUAUCCAGGACUUUAAAGGUCUCCCUGUUGGCCAACACUAACCUGGGAUGGUGAAGUCAGGAUAAUGAAUUCCCUUCACUUACCCUUCAGAAGCACGUUUUAUUCAGCAGUUUCAGAAGUGAAUCCCACUGAACCUUACUGGUUGGAGAAUUCUAUUGUUUCAAAACUUCUCUAAAGAGCAUAGAGAAGGAGAAACUCUUCUAUAUUAUUCCGGUAAUUUGUAUAUCAAUGAUAACCAGAUACAAUCACCAUAAUCUAAGGAAAUCUCAGUGAAAUAUUUUGCGCUUUCCAGGCCCCCUUUUCUCUCAGUACUGUAUAGUGAGAAGAAUUCUAGCUUUUAAACUGGCAUGGUGGUACAUGCCUGUAAUCCCAGGAUGCUGGGAGGUUGAAGCAGGAGGAUCAGAAGUUCAAGCCCUCCUUAGUUAACAACUUAGUGAGAUUCUGUCCCAAAAUAUAAAAUAAAACAGGAUGGGAAUAUAGUUCAGGGUAGAGGCUCUCAUUUCAGUCUCCAGUAACACACACACACACA